AUUGAACGCUGGCGGCAGGCCUAACACAUGCAAGUCGAACGGUAACAGGAAGAAGCUUGCUUCUUUGCUGACGAGUGGCGGACUGGUGAGUAAUGUCUGGGAAACUGCCUGAUGGAGGGGGAUAACUACUGGAAACGGUAGCUAAUACCGCAUAACGUCGCAAGACCAAAGAGGGGGACCUUCGGGCCUCUUGCCAUCGGAUGUGCCCAGAUGGGAUUAGCUAGUAGGUGGGGUAACGGCUCACCUAGGCGACGAUCCCUAGCUGGUCUGAGAGGAUGACAAGCCACACUGGAACUGAGACACGGUCCAGACUCCUACGGGAGGCAGCAGUGGGGAAUAUUGCACAAUGGGCGCAAGCCUGAUGCAGCCAUGCCGCGUGUAUGAAGAAGGCCUUCGGGUUUUAAAGUACUUUCAGCGGGGAGGAAGGGAGUAAAGUUAAUACCUUUGCUCAUUGACGUUACCCGCAGAAGAAGCACCGGCUAACUCCGUG
rnacentral:rRNA from 1 species